AGGAUAAAAGUUUCUUAUAACAUUUAAUUUGCAUUUAAAAAAAAUUGAUUAUUCAAUUUAUCUUA
rnacentral:tRNA from 1 species